rnacentral:lncRNA from 1 species
UUAUUUUUGUCAUAAUGUGUCCUAGUUUGCUCCUCCCUUAAAUCCUUUCAAUAAGUCUUCUUGUCAUCUGUGUUAAUAUUAAUAGAAAUCAAGGAUGGAAGCCAGAGGAGAGAGGGAAUAAUGGUGGAUGAAGGAUGCAUGCCACCAGAGAAUAGAUAUUUUGAUUCUUUCACAGAACGUUAUUUGCCUGUUCUCUGAGCACUUCCUUCCCCAGUACCUAGAGUUCGGCCAUGGUCCUUACUUACAGUUCAUCAUCCUGAUGGCGUGGCA